rnacentral:rRNA from 1 species
AUUGAACGCUGGCGGCAUGCCUUACACAUGCAAGUCGAACGCCCCGCAAGGGGAGUGGCAGACGGGUGAGUAACGCGUGGGAACAUACCCUUUUCUACGGAAUAGCUCUGGGAAACUGGAAUUAAUACCGUAUACGCCCUACGGGGGAAAGAUUUAUCGGGGAAGGAUUGGCCCGCGUUGGAUUAGCUAGUUGGUGGGGUAAAGGCCUACCAAGGCGACGAUCCAUAGCUGGUCUGAGAGGAUGAUCAGCCACAUUGGGACUGAGACACGGCCCAAACUCCUACGGGAGGCAGCAGUGGGGAAUAUUGGACAAUGGGCGCAAGCCUGAUCCAGCCAUGCCGCGUGAGUGAUGAAGGCCUUAGGGUUGUAAAGCUCUUUCACCGAUGAAGAUAAUGACGGUAGUCGGAGAAGAAGCCCCGGCUAACUUCGUGCCAGCCGCCGCAGUAAAAC